UUUCUUGUCAAUACCACGUUGAAAACACUGGUUCUAGUCCGAUAACCGAAGCUAAGCAACGUCGGGCAUAGUAAGUACCUAGAUGGGUAACCGCUUGGGAACGCUAUCUGCCGUUUACA
rnacentral:rRNA from 1 species